rnacentral:lncRNA from 1 species
AAUAACAUGAACCAUUUUCCCCAAAUUUCAACCGGUAGCCUCUUCCUUAUCUUGACCUAAGCACUCGACGAAAAAGCUUCCACCUGAAGCAAAAUCGGUCGACGCACUCAUCGUCACCGCCAACGACACCGACAAAGGUGUACAUACGUUUAGUGAUAUUGAGUUUUUGCUUAGUUAAACGGGUUUACCAUGUCUUAUAGUUUAGAUAUUGAAAAUUGUUUCCUGCAAAUCUCACAAUCUUCCUAUAUUUGCAUAAUUUCAGUUACCAUGAAUGUUGGUAUCUGUUGAUGCUGUGAAGAAAUAUGUGAAUGAUAGAGAUGGUCACUAUGCUUUUGCCAUUGGUGAGAAUUUGACUUCUUGUUGUAAGUGUACUUGAAAUACUUAAGGGCGUGAUUGGAGAGUAGCUUAAAUGAUAAUUCUGAUUGAUGCUUCUUAGGAGUUCUUUUAGAGCAUGCUCAUUGAACACCUUUGCUCUGAUAGUUUGUGCACUCUGCUGUACAUAUGUAGAUCUCUCACAUUGUCUCUUACAUUCAUUUUUCUGAGUGGAAAUGCUUAUGUUAGGUUAGAUUUAUGUUGUCCUCAUGCUAGAUUAGGUGCCCUUCAGUUAACUAUACAGUCACCCCUCCACUUCAACGAACUAACUUUGACGUGAUAAUUUGUGAGUCUUAUUGUAGUACAAGAGGUGAAUAACCUGAAGCAAGCAUAGCCAUCACUAUUGAAGAAAAAAAUCUGCCACCCAUUCAGCUUUAUCUACAUUGGCAUAACAUUAGCAUCUUUUGGAUAGCAUAUUGUAGACAAUCCCAUUCAAAUUUGUCUACAUUUUGGAUAGUAUAUUGUUGCUUGCACUUUUGUAGUUUUAAUAUCCUCAAAUCAAUGUAAUUAUUGUUGCAGGGAGUGAUUAAGUUUCCAAUACAGACAAAUGAAAAAACAAGGCCUACUGCAUAGCAUACUGACACUGAUUUUGGUCUAGAGUUUCAAAAUUAUGAGUUUGUCGUUUAAGAUCGAUUCACAUUGUCUCAAUUGCAGUCAUCUACUAGAAUGAAAUGAAGAAAUUUGAGAGUUUGUCAUGGUUGCAAAAGCAACACGCACUACUUUGGACAAUGCCAAUCAAAACUCUGAUGCCUUAGUUGUGAGUGCAAAUAUCAAAAAUAUUUUGAGGUUGAACGGGAUACCAAUAACAAAGGCGAUUGUUCUUCACUGUAGUAAUAAUUGUGGAUACUUCGAUUGGGCGAAAAAUGAAGUUUUAGAUGAGGAAUCGAAUUCCGUUAAUCAUACAUUGAAUCAUGUACCCAAUGAGAAAGACGAAGAGUUGCCAAUACUGUUUGACGAGUUAGCAAGAAUUAGUGAGAAAUAAGGUGUUGGCAUAUCAGUGCACAUAACUCUUAGCAAGGAAAAAAGAAUUGUCAAAUGUGAUGGGAAAGGAAAGGGAUCGAAUUGAAGGAGUGAUCUAAGUUAUAUAUGUGAAUUUCAAUUUGUAUAAUGAUAUGUUGCUUUUAUUCCACUAUAAAGGAUAUGCCUUCAGUUGUGAACCCACCCAAACCUUUUGUUUAGCUAUUUAUGUGGUUGUAGUGAGACCCCCAUUUUUUAUGGACUUUGGAUAAUACUGAUGACCAGGUUUGUUAUGAUUAUUGGAAAUGCUUUAAUGAUUAAGUUAAUUGCCUUCGUAACUUUACUUUGUCAAACUUUAAACUUUACUUUUAACUUGCUUGAUGGUUCAGUUAAUUGCCUGCAUAGAACAAAAACACAAAAAUGGAAAAGGUCACCUGGCAAUAAACCAGGCCAACACAAGUAGAUUGUUUACCAUUAACAAAGUCGUGAAAAGAAGGAAGUAGAAGAACUAGGCCAUGCUGGAUUUGUUUCAGAUAAAAUCAUAGACAGCAGCGAAAGUCCAUAGAAAGCCAUGACACUAUCACUUUUGUAAGCUCUAAUCAAAACUAUCCUAGACCUCAGUCCUUAAUAUUAUCACUAUUUACCAUCUUAUCUAGCUAACAUUGUCC